CAGAUGGUGCUGUUAGAAGUAACAGGUAAAAGGGAAACAGGUGCGAAUCCUGUACGAUCUCGUCACUGUAAUUAGGGAAUGCAAAUCAUUGAUUGAUGUAUGCAGAUGAUACAAAAUAUUUUAAUCUGCGCACAAUUUAAGCCACUGCCCGGAACGUCUCCGCCAGGCGCGACCGGUUGGGAAGGCAGAUUUGUAUGAUGAUCUAUAAGCCAGGAAACCUGCCAUUUUGU
rnacentral:ncRNA from 1 species